rnacentral:rRNA from 1 species
CCUACGGGGGGCUGCAGUGGGGAAUAUUGGACAAUGGGGGGAACCCUGAUCCAGCCAUGCCGCGUGUGUGAAGAAGGCCUUCGGGUUGUAAAGCACUUUCAGUGAGGAAGAACGCCUGGUGGUUAAUACCCAUCAGGAAAGACAUCACUCACAGAAGAAGCACCGGCUAACUCCGUGCCAGCAGCCGCGGUAAUACGGAGGGUGCGAGCGUUAAUCGGAAUUACUGGGCGUAAAGCGCGCGUAGGUGGCUUGAUAAGCCGGUUGUGAAAGCCCCGGGCUCAACCUGGGAACGGCAUCCGGAACUGUCAAGCUAGAGUGCAGGAGAGGAAGGUAGAAUUCCCGGUGUAGCGGUGAAAUGCGUAGAGAUCGGGAGGAAUACCAGUGGCGAAGGCGGCCUUCUGGACUGACACUGACACUGAGGUGCGAAAGCGUGGGUAGCAAACAGGAUUAGAUACCCUUGUAGUC